rnacentral:miRNA from 1 species
GGUGUGUGCGUGUGUGUGUG